AUUUCUUUGUGUAUUACAGAACUCAGCCAGCGUUCACAUUUAAUACUAAUAGUUGUUGUUGCUGUGUUGCUACUCAUAGUUGUAGCUGUAGGUUUGAUUUACUGCCACUACAACAACUGUAAACAAACAGUAAAGAAGGAGAUACAUUAUAUCAUGCCAACAUGCAUUGUCAUCUAGAAGAAGCUUU